rnacentral:rRNA from 1 species
GACGAACGCUGGCGGUGUGCUUAACACAUGCAAGUCGAACGGUAAGGCCCUUUCGGGGGUACACGAGUGGCGAACGGGUGAGUAACACGUGAGUAACCUGCCCUCAUCUCUGGGAUAACAGUCGGAAACGGUUGCUAAUACUGGAUAUGAGCUUGCAAGGCAUCUUGUGGGUUGGAAAGAUUUUUUUGGUUGGGGAUGGACUCGCGGCCUAUCAGCUUUUUGGUGAGGUAGUGGCUCACCAAGGCUUCGACGGGUAGCCGGCCUGAGAGGGCGACCGGCCAAUUUGGGACUGGGUCUCGGCCCAAACCCCUCCGGGGGGCAGCAGGGGGGAAUAUUGCACAAUGGACGGAAGUCUGAUCCACCACCCCCCCGUGCGGGUUUACGGCCUUCGGGUUGUAACCCCUUUUCAAUUGUGACGAAGCUUUUUUGUGCCGGUAGCAGUAAAAGAAGCACCGGCUAACUCCGG